CCAUAAUAUAUGAGAAGAGAAAGUAAAAGAAAAAUAUGUUUAUGACAAUCACAUCUGAAAUCUGAAACCUGAAACUGUAAGUAGGGCAGAUAACAGGUAGGUAUGAGCAUAUACAUCAGGAACAGAAGUAAAACAAGCUUCAAGAAAGACCUUCACACAAAUACAGUCUGUUUGAUUCUGGGCUGUUUGUGAACAAGGAGCUCAAGAUGCAAUGACAGGUAAUGAUGUGCUCUAUAUACACCCUGUUACGUAGGAGACGGAGGGAUGGAGAAGGACGAAAUGCCAUUAUUGGAUGUGAUGAAAAUAAUAAAGGGGGUAGCCCCUAAGGAUUAUGAGAGCAUUGUUGCUCCUAAUGGGGAUUUUAAAAAGCUUCAUACCGGGGACAUUGUGUUGCGACCAAUUGAAGGUUCAUCCUCUUUGCAUCAUGCUGGAAUUUACUGUGGAAAUGAUGAAAUCAUUGAGUUUUGUCCCACUGUAGAAAAAGCAGACACAUCUGCUCUGGUCACCAGUUUAUCAAAGGGAUCUACACCUGAUGGAGAAAUUCACAAAAUAAGUGUGAAAAAGUUCCUUAAAGGCAAGAAAUGGAUCAUUUUUCGUCUCAAGAGUAAAGUUGAAGACCUUGAUUCUAACAUAAAGAAUGCCAUGGAUAAGGACCUGCCAUAUCAUGCCCUGCAGUUCAACUGUGUGAACUUCGCAUUAUGCAUUUUAAAGAAACAAAAUUGGCCGAAUAGUAGAGAAAUUGAGGGUAUCAAAGACCAGCCGUUGACCUCAACUUCCGACUGUGUUUCUGUCAGACCAGAAGAUGAGGCCAAACCAGGACAACAUGAAGCUCCUAAUCCAAAAGAGCCUCUUUUAGAGAACCCGGAAGAAGGCACACACUUAAAGGAUAUUGUUACAAAGAACUGAACUGGGAGGCUAUUAUGUUAUGUAUGAAUAAAAUAAUUCAUAUAAUUCUAUGAAUCCA
rnacentral:lncRNA from 1 species